CCUCUAUAUAAACCGCCAACCGCCGAUGGAACUCUCCAGAGAGAAGGAACGGGCGGCGCUUGCAGGUCCAGGAUGGAUCUUGCAGAAUAAAGAUUGCAGAAGGAAACAACAAAUGAAAACGACUACCGUGCAAGGCCAUUGGUGAACAAUGCUGUAAGGAAGAUCUAGCAGUGGCAAAUGAGAAGGCUGUCCACUGUGCAAGAGCCUGACCGAACAUUUGAAACAUAGAUGAUGGACAGGAAAGACGAUGACACAG